GGCCAGUUAGCUCAGCUGGUUAGAGCGUGGUGUUAAUAACUCCAAGGUCGUGGGUUCUAUCCCCAUACGGUCCA
rnacentral:tRNA from 2 species